ACUCCUACGGGAGGCAGCAGUGGGGAAUAUUGCACAAUGGGGAAACCCUGAUGCAGCCAUGCCGCGUGUGUGAAGAAGGCCUUCGGUUGUAAAGCACUUUCAGUAGGGAGGAAGGUAGUGUAGUUAACACCUGCAUUAUUUGACGUUACCUACAGAAGAAGCACCGGCUAACUCCGUGCCAGCAGCCGCGGUAAUACGGAGGGGUGCGAGCGUUAAUCGGAAUUACUGGGCGUAAAGCGCAUGCAGGCGGCCUGUUAAGUCAGAUGUGAAAGCCCGGGGGCUUAACCUCGGAAUUGCAUUUGAAACUGGCAGGCUAGAGUCUUGUAGAGGGGGUAGAAUUUCAGGUGUAGCGGUGAAAUGCGUAGAGAUCUGAAGGAAUACCGGUGGCGAAGGCGGCCCCCUGGACAGAUACUGACACUCAGAUGCGAAAGCGUGGGGAGCAAACAGGAUUAGAUACCCUGGUAGGAUAGCG
rnacentral:rRNA from 1 species